CCUGGCAGCGAGCGCCUCGGUCUCUCCCUGCGCGACCAGCGGUGCAGGCGUCUGGGCUACUGCAAGGAGGUGGGGGUGCCUACACCUUCCCUCCCUCCCGCUCUGCGCCUUGGGUUGCCACAGGUGCCCCCUUCCCGGAAUUGAUGAGGCUGAGUGAAACCAACCGCGGUCUUGCCCGGCAGUUGUUGGGUAGCUCCCUCAGCAGCACACUGUGAAAACGGGGGUCCUCUCCCGGAGAUGGGGAGCAGGGCGCUUCUGUGGCUGGUCCUAGCUCCCAGCUAACUCCCUGAGGGGUACCCUGCUCAGGUCGACGCCGGAAAGAAAGUUCUGGUUCAGUGACCGUGUUCUGCUUUUGUCCCUAUCACACCUGAGGAGUCGGACGCUGUUCCAACAGAGUGACAGAAGAAGAGAGGAAGAGGGGAUGAAGAAAGAGAGAUCCAUCCAUCCUCUGAUUCACUCCCCAAGUGGCUGCCAUAGCCAGAUGACAUCUGCUGAAAACCUAAAUGUGAAUAACCAUAGUGCCUGCCAGUCAUUACUUCGAGCAAAAAAUGGUAUUCCACGGAAAGCUUGUGACUCAGAGUCCUACAAGCUAUUUUCCUCAUCACUCAUUGUACUUCAUCUACAACAGAGGCUGUUGUUACCAGUACCCACCGCAUCAGAGACUCCCUUUCUGAGGUGUCCUGUGUUAACAGGAACUGUGAUGCUAGCGUUCUUCCCUGCCGGUUUGCUUCACCCAAGGACACUUUGGAGCUUGGAGCUUCUCAGGCUCUCCUUUCUGCUGAGCAGGAUCAUAUAUGUGGUCACCUUAAGGAAAUGUUGGGCACAUGAUAUCUCCAGGAAGCAGGAUGUCAGAGCCUCUGGGAAAAGUGUUUCUUCUCACCAGUGCCAUGAUUGCUGGGGGCGGCCCCCGUUUUUUACUUUAUACAAAGUUUUCCAGGAGGCGCAAGGAGCAUUCAUUCGGUUAGAGGGCUUGCAGAGCAAGAUGGGCUUUCAUGCCGGUGCGCACACAGGGAAUCCAUCAGGAUUCUGGGACCUCAUGACGGAACGCAGGGGAGGGGCUGCUAGAUGCUUCGCAGGUAGAAACUUUUUCCAGGGCUUCGUAUUACCGGCUGGCACUGAGCAGCUGCAGAACCAGCCCGAGGCACUGGGGGCUCUGGGCACUCCCCUCAGGGUUCACUAUCUCCGACUUGUGACAAGCACAACGCUGCGGACACUGCUGACGCCCAGGUACGGGCUCUCCUUGUGAACGCAGACUGGGUGCGUACUGAGGGAGAGGGGCUGCCGUCCUCUGGGAAGACUCUUGGCGGAAACUGCGAUUAAGGAUUUCGACUGGGAAGAAAAUCACUAAGAACGUCACUAGGUGACACCUUCAGGAGGUCUUCUUAGAGCUCAAGGGUGGUCAGCAGAUUCCCAUGUUCAAGCUCAGUGAGGAGGGUGGUGAUAAAAUAAAAAAGGAGCGAAGGUGAUCAAGACGACUCGGCUUCCUUCAGUCCUGGUCUUCUCUCAUUCCACUGGGAACCCUCCAACGGUGACAGUCCCUCAGAUUGGCAGGCACUCCUGCAAGCGAAAUUGUCCAGCUGCUGGUAGGGUGAAUGUGUGUGCUGGCAUAUGCAUAAGCUUCCUCUUGACUCCAAACCUUCGCUAUUCACCAAACCAGGGACUUGACAAUACCUGGUAGAGUUAGAGACAGAGAGAAAGGUCUUCCUUCCAUUGGUUCACCCCCAAAAUGGCUGCUACGGCCAGUGUGCUGCACCGAUCCGAAGCCAGGAGCCAGGUGCUUCUCCUGGUCUCCCAUGCGGGUGCAGGGCCCAAGCACUUGGGCCAUCCUCCACUGAACUGCCAGGCCACAGCAGAGAGCUGGGCUGGAAGAGGAGCAACUGGGACAGAAACGGCGCCCCAACCAGGACUAGAAUGUGGAGUACCAGUGCCACAGGCGGAGGAUUAGCCUAGUGAGCCACAGUGCUGGCCAUCCAUUGUCUGUUAACUCGUCUACUUUGCUGUUUCCUUCAUCAUGGGGUAGUUCCGUUGAUGAGUAAAUGCAUGUGCAUAUUUCCUCUCCCUGCACUCUUCAACUACUACAUCUGAUUUCUGUCCUCUCAUUCCACUAUAGCAAGUCUGAACAAUUAUCUUACUAGGUUCUGACACUGCUGGCCAUCCCUUGUUGACAUACGCUUCUUCUGGCUCCCACGAGAAGACACUGACCUGGCUUUCCUCCUGUCUCUCGAGCUGUUUAUCUCUCACUCUCCCACUCAAUGUUGGGUUUGUCACAGCUUAAUCUUGAGGUCCUUUUCUCACUCUACACUCUCACCUUGCACUAUCUAUCUUAACUCAAGGCUUAAAUACCACCUAUACCUAUGACUCACCAAAUUUUAUCUCUUUCAGACCUCUUCAACUACCUAUUUACUUAAUAGCUCCCCUUUGAUGUCUCAAAGAAACCUAACAUUCACAAGAGCAAAACCAGUCUCACAUUUUCCCUCCUAUAGGUCAGAUUCUCCUGCCAAUGAGUGGUAUCUAAGUGAAUGCUACCAUCAUCCAUCAGGAUAGGAGAACUCUCUUAAGAAUCAUCUUGGUCAUCCUCUCUCCCCUUUUCCUCCUCCAUGUCAGUAUAUUCUGGUAAUCCUAAACACUUCUAAAUGCUGUCUGUUAUCCAACUAUAGAAAAUUAAGCUUGCUUUCCUUUCUUCCUUUUCUGCCUUAUGCUAAACAGUCUGCUAGGUUCUGUUUGGCCACUUUGCAGGCACAAGAAUCGCUUGUAUAUCAAUAUAUAUCUGAUCUGAUCCUCUUAAAUUAACCCUUCAAUAGCUUCCCACUGCUCUCAGAUACUCUCCACAGUGCUGGAUGUGGAGACAAAACCCUGCCAGGUCUAGCUCCCACCUAGCCCUCCACAGUCAGUGAAACAGUCUCACUGUACAUUUUGCAGUCCCACACACUUGUCAUGAUUCUUCCCACAAGAGUGUCUCUGAAGAUGGUAUUCUCUCCACCAAGGACACUUGUUUUCUCAUCCUAGUAUCUUGUCAACUUAAUGAGAAGACCUAGGGUGGUAGUGAGCAGACUAUAGCAAUAUUCAAUACUUCUCGUGUGGGAUCUGUCCUUAAUGUGUUGUCCAAUGUGAAGUAAUACUAUAACUAGUACUGAAACAGUAUUUUACACUUUGUGUUUCUGUGUGGGUGCAAACUGAUGAAAUCUUCACUUAACAUAUAAAACUAAAUCGAUAUUCUGUAUAUAAAGAUAAUUGAAAAUGAAUCUUGAUGUGAAUGGAAUGGGAGAGGGAGUGGGAGAUGGGAGGGAAAUUAUGGGGGGGGGAAGCCAUUGUAAUCCAUAAAAUGUACUUUGGAAAUUUAUAUUUACUAAAUAAAAAAAAAUCAUGGUAUAUAACAUAUAUACUUUUUGCCAUUUGUUAAUUUUAAUAAAUAAACUCUUAAUUUGAAAAAAAAUAAAAUUGCAUAGCUAGAAUCUGUCAAUUCUUUGAUGGGUAAAAAUGACUACUUUCAAUGGGCUAAAAUAUAUGAAUAUGUGCUAAAAAUAGAGAUAAGUACCUUAGCAUUAUAAUUUAGUUAAACCCUUUCUAGGGAACCCAGUUCAUGCUAAACAGGUUAGAGCAUACAAUAUCAACUCUGUUUAAACUAGAUGAAUGCCGGGCAGUAAGGAGAGAAAGCAGUCAGUCAAUGGAGAAGUAAUUACAGGAAACAUGCAGACAGGUCUCAGAUAGUGUCUGUAGAGAAUCUUCCUAAAACUUUUAUUUUCUUGCUUUAUGGGGAACCUUUUUAUUUAUCUCAGAUUCUUCAUCUCUGUGGAAAAUCUGCUUCAGAUUUGCUGAACAACUGCCACUGACUUAGUGACUACGAUCACUGUAAAGUUGAGUUUAAGCUGCUUAAUAAGGCUUAAGAUACCAUGGAUGAGGUUUUAAGAAAAAUUUUAUCAGACAAUGAAAGUUCUGGUAAAUUUUUUACUUAUUAAAACCCAGGUUAGAGUACAAAAAUAGGUUAGUAAUCCUGUUUAAAUUCAUUUGGGGGACUGUUUAGUAAUGUUUUUAUGUUAUUCCUUUCAUUCAAGUAAUACACUGAUACUUAAACUAGAAUCAGUGACUCAAUUCAAAUCUCAAAUGGGAAAAUCCCAGCUUCUAGUCCACAUUUAAUCAUGCAUAUAACAGAGUGGACAGGUUAAUGAUAAUACCUCAUACUACCACUGCUGAAAGGUUAUUUGGAAACAAAGCACACCAGAUUUUAAGACUAUUUUUGCACUAUUCUUCAUCCGUCUUCCCCCUAAAUAAAAAGCAGGCCACUGUGCCAGAUGUCUAAGUCACCAAAUUACUGAGACUAUUUUGAGACUAGUUUUUUUCUGACUUUGCUAGAGUUGUUUUCUCAGAAUUGUCAGUCCUGUUAAAAUUUUAAUAUUUUAAACAAAUGGGCUUUCCUUUAAUCAUAGUUUGUCUUUUCUAUUUUUGUACACUUAAGGAUUUAUACUUUUAAGGACUCAUAAAUCUGCAUCUGCUGCUUCUUAGAGAAUUUCAUAUGCUCAAUUUGAGGUAUUUGGCUAAGAGUCUAGAGUGAUUCAGUGUUUUGACAAACUGGUCAUUUGGGGUCUGCACUGAAGCCAAAUGUAUAUUUCCCAUAAUAUUAAUUAUCACUUUUAUAGAGGCAACUCUUACUGUCUAGCUCUAAUAGUGUUAGAACUAACUUCUGUUUGAAAUAGGAAUUUCUUAACCAGAAAGGAGAAUAAGUAGCCUGCCAAGUCAAAGAUACCAUAUAUACACAUAUAUAUGUGUAUGUAUUUUAUGUAUAUAUUUUAUAUAUGUAUACAUGUGGAUUAUCAAUUUUUACAGAAUUAAAUACAAGUAAAUAUACUUAACUUUGAGGGAGUAUGAGAAAAUAGUGUUUUUUAAUAGCUUAGCCUUUCAAGCUCUUUUGGAGACUGAGAGUCAGCAUUAUAAGCAUGAAGUCUUACUGGACACAUGGCUCUUAAAGAUUUAGGCACUGAAUGUGUUUGUCCAGACACAAAGAGGUCAGCCUGAAGUGAUCUUUUGGUAGAAACCACCUCCACCUGCACUGCUGCCAGCCAACCCCAUCUCCAUCCUCUCUCAGCAGUUCACUUAGAGACAUGUCUCACUGUACACGUGAGGAGUGCAAGGGUAGAAGGAAGGCUGGGAACACUGGGCCCCCUGUCUUCUGCUUCCUCUGGGUCUGGGAAACAGGGAGAGCCCAGUUUCCAGCAUGAAUGGCCUAUCAUCAUCAUCAAGGCCUCUAUUAAAUCUGUGAAGAAUUCUAUACAGUAUUUUGUUGAGAAAGGAAUAUGAUUUAUACUGAAGGUCUGGAGGAGAAAGGGAUAUAAUUUCCUUGUGUAAAUACACAGUUGAACCUGGUAUUCAAGAACUUAAUAUUCACUUUUGACUGCUUUCAAGUAACAUCAAACAUCCAUAACACAUGGUGUUGGCAACCUGUCUGACUUGCUACUUAAUUAGUUCAUGAAUAAUGGUCAUAGGUUGUGUUGUCAUAAAUUGAAAGCUCAUUUCCUAUAAGUACAGUAUCAUUUAAACUGGAGAUCUGUUCCUAGAAGUCCUGACUACAUCAUAAAACUAAUAAAGCAUCAUAAAAUAACAAUAAAUAAAUGAUUUUACAAAAUUAAAAACAUAAAACUAAAUAUGAAAAAAGCCAUAGCAUAAUCAUGUCUUCUGGAAGUUCUCUGAAGUUCUCCUGCAUGGUUAAUACUAGGAGACUUCUUAAUGUGAGUCCCCUGAAGUCUGGACUGCUGAAGUCAUCUAAUCCUGGUCUGUUGUUCCUGAAGGAAGCAUGGGUAAAAAUUUCUUUCAGCAAGCAUCUUUGAACUGCUUAUGCAUACGACUAAAGGAAAAAAGUACAGCAAAGUUUGCCUGCCCGUGCUAUGAAGGAUUUUAAACAGGUGACCGCCAGCACUGGCAUCAGGCCACUCCAGCAUUAGCAUCCCGGAACUAUACUUGCCUUAAACAAGAUAA